UGUAUCUGAAGCCUGACGAGGAUGAGAACCUCCGGAGGGCAAGAGGUUCGACCCGAGCGAAGCGAGAAAACGUUGCGUCAGCAACGGCCCGCAGGGCGAGCCAUCCUCUAUCACCGGCAG
rnacentral:sRNA from 3 species